rnacentral:rRNA from 1 species
GAUGAACGCUGGCGGCGUGCCUAAUACAUGCAAGUCGAGCGAACGGACGAGAAGCUUGCUUCUCUGAUGUUAGCGGCGGACGGGUGAGUAACACGUGGAUAACCUACCUAUAAGACUGGGAUAACUUCGGGAAACCGGAGCUAAUACCGGAUGAUAUUUUGAACCGCAUGGGUCAAAAGUGAAAGACGGUCUUGCUGUCACUUAUAGAUGGAUCCGCGCUGCAUUAGCUAGUUGGUAAGGUAACGGCUUACCAAGGCAACGAUGUAUAGCCGACCUGAGAGGGUGAUCGGCCACACUGGAACUGAGACACGGUCCAGACUCCUCCGGGAGGCAGCAGUAGGGAAUCUUCCGCAAUGGGCGAAAGCCUGACGGAGCAACGCCGCGUGAGUGAUGAAGGUCUUCGGAUCGUAAAACUCUGUUAUUAGGGAAGAACAUAUGUGUAAGUAACUGUGCACAUCUUGACGGUACCUAAUCAGAAAGCCACGGCUAACUACGUG